rnacentral:rRNA from 1 species
GACGAAGGACCCAAGCGUUAUCCGGAUUCAUUGGGUUUAAAGGGUGCGUAGGCGGGUUGAUAAGUCAGUGGUGAAAGACCAACGCUUAACGUUGGAACUGCCAUUGAUACUGUCGAUCUUGAAUGUGUUUGAUGUGGGCGGAAUAUGACAUGUAGCGGUGAAAUGCUUAGAUAUGUCAUAGAACACCGAUUGCGAAGGCAGCUCACAAAGCCACUAUUGACGCUGAGGCACGAAAGCGUGGGGAUCAAACAGG